rnacentral:rRNA from 1 species
CCUACGGGCGGCAGCAGUAGGGAAUAUUGCGCAAUGGAGGAAACUCUGACGCAGCAACGCCGCGUGGAGGAUGAAGGUCUUCGGAUUGUAAAGUCCUGUGAUGAGAGAUGAUCACAAUGGUGGCUAACGAAUAACAAGCCACUAACUACUUGCCAGCAGCCGCGGUGAUACGGAGGAGGCAAGCGUUACUCGGAAUCACUGGGCGUAAAGAAGGCGUAGGCGGGAUAGUAAGUCAGCGGUGAAAUCCUAGGGCUUAACCAUAGAACUACAGUUGAAACUAUUAUUCUAGAGUAUGGGAGGGGUAGGUGGAAUUCUUGGUGUAGGGGUAAAAUGCGUAGAGAUCAAGAGGAAUACUAGGGGCGAAGGCGACUUACUAGAACAUAACUGACGCUGAUGCGCGAAAGCGUGGGGAGCAAACAGGAUUAGAUACCCGAGUAGUC